UCGAGAAUAAUUCGCAAUGGACGAAAGUCUGACGAUGCGACACCGCGUGUGCGAUGAAGGCCUUCGGGUUGUAAAGCACUUUUUGGAAGGAAUAGGAAGGAAGGUACUUCCAGAAUAAGUCUCGGCUAACUACGUGCCAGCAGCCGCGGUAACACGUAGGAGGCAAACGUUAUCCGGAUUCACUGGGCGUAAAGCGCGUGUAGGUGGUUUUGUAAGUAGGGCGUGAAAGCUCCUGGCUCAACUGGGAGAGGCCGUUCUAAACUGCAGAACUAGAGGAUGGUAGAGGGAGGUGGAAUUCCAGGUGUAGCGGUGGAAUGCGCAGAUAUCUGGAGGAACACCAGUGGCGAAAGCGGCCUCCUGGACCAUUCCUGACACUCAGACGCGAAAGCUAGGGUAGCAAACA
rnacentral:rRNA from 1 species